GCAUUAAAACGAGCCACAAAAUCUCGAAGUGUUUCAGUCUCUCCUUGCUUAAUCGAGAAGAGACUAUCAGAAGUGCGUGGCGGCCUUCGACUGGUGCUGAAGUGAGUCACGAAAGAAUAUAUGCUUCCUGACUGAAAUCCGGAGUACCAGGCUUGAGCAGCUUUCCGAAGAGUUGUCGGAAAGCCGAUGCAUAUAGUCAUGAGAGCCUUGUAGCUCUCAAGGUGGUCGAUCGGGUCGGUGGAUCCGUCGUAUGGGUCCACCUGAGGCAUCUUGAACCGAGAUGGGAUUGGUUGGUCC
rnacentral:lncRNA from 1 species